ACCUCGGAUCAGGUAGGGAUACCCGCUGAACUUAAGCAUAUCAAUAAGCGGAGGAAAAGAAACCAACAGGGAUUGCCUCAGUAACGGCGAGUGAAGCGGCAACAGCUCAAAUNUGAAAUCUGGCUCUUUCAGGGUCCGAGUUGUAAUUUGUAGAAGAUGCUUUGGGUGUGGCUCCGGUCUAAGUUCCUUGGAACAGGACGUCAUAGAGGGUGAGAAUCCCGUACGUGACUGGGUGCCUUCGCUCGUGUAAAGCUCUUUCGACGAGUCGAGUUGUUUGGGAAUGCAGCUCAAAAUGGGUGGUAAAUUUCAUCUAAAGCUAAAUAUUGGCCAGAGACCGAUAGCGCACAAGUAGAGUGAUCGAAAGAUGAAAAGCACUUUGGAAAGAGAGUUAAACAGUACGUGAAAUUGUUGAAAGGGAAGCGCUUGCAACCAGACUUGCGCGCUGUUGAUCAUCCGAGCUUUUGCCCGGUGCACUCGGCAGCGCUCAGGCCAGCAUCGGUUUUGGUGGGCGGAUAAAGGCCUUGGGAAUGUAGCUCUCUUCGGGGAGUGUUAUAGCCCUCGGUGCAAUGCGCCCUACCGGACCGAGGA
rnacentral:rRNA from 1 species